ACUUGCACACUGUGCGCACAGUACACACUUUGAAAACGGUGCUUUUAGUACGGCAGACAGAAGGCCUUCUACAAUAUUGAAAUUGCAUGUUUAUUACGUUUCUAUGCCUUUUGAGAUUUCUAGCAUCUGAGCAGUGACGGAGCUGAAGACUGACACAUAAUGAUGCGAGCUGACGGUAACCCAGGCGACCGGCUUCUGCAUCAGUACCCGUAGUUCCGUACGAACAGCAGCUAUCUCUCUCUAUUUCAGGGCGACUCGUGCUGAAAUCUUCUAACAUGACGCAUCGCAUGGUAGAUUGACUUGGUCAAUAGAAUGGAUGUCCCGGCGGUAAACCAGAGCUAUACACAUCCACCACCUCAGCCAUGGGCCGGACAGAGCCCCAGGACCCCAACCAUGCCUCCUCCCAGCUGUGCACCUCCUUCUUAUCACUACCCAAACCUGAACACAGAUCAGCAGAGUGUGACCCUGAUGACCCACAUGACAGGAACCUCAGCAGGUCAUCGGCCUCAUUCACUGUAUUGGGACCCCUCACAGCAAAGCUACCAGGAUGUGUUAAAGCCUGUUCCUGAGAUCACAAAUAUGACGACUCAAGGAGUGCCACAGAGAAACUACUCAUUACCAGUGAGAGUGACAAUACAAGUCCAGUGUCAAAUUCCAAGACAGAGUCUCGGUAUGGCCUGGAUCCUCAGUUUCUGCCCAGUGUGGUAAAUCAGCUCGCCCUCUUAUUCUGUAAUGUUUCCUACAAGACAGCUCAGGUUUGGUUGCACUGUUGUGUAUGGCUGUGUUGUUUUGUCUCAGUGUAUGUGUCCUCUGUCUCCAAAACGUUCAGGUCCAUGUGAUUAAAGAGAACAGGAUCCAGUGGGAGGGGAAAGUGUUUGUUUCAGAAUCCAAAUCUUCAGUUCCUCCUCUCUCAUCAACACAAUGCACCCUGGAGGACAGAGGUACUGUCACUGCUGCCCAGUUUAGCCAUAUUAUCUUUUGACUUCAUAGAUUCACAUGAAAAAUAAAUGUGAUGCACCUGCUUUUUGUAUCACAACAGCUUUUGUUGUACUUUUGUUGAAAUUAUUUUGACUUU
rnacentral:lncRNA from 1 species